CCCGGCGGCAGUAGCGCGGUGGUCCCACCUGACCCCAUGCCGAACUCAGAAGUGAAACGCCGUAGCGCCGAUGGUAGUGUGGGGUCUCCCCAUGCGAGAGUAGGGAACUGCCAGGC
rnacentral:rRNA from 1 species